rnacentral:rRNA from 1 species
UAAUGUAUGGGGAUCUGCCCGAUAGAGGGGGAUAACUACUGGAAACGGUGGCUAAUACCGCAUAAUGUCUACGGACCAAAGCAGGGGCUCUUCGGACCUUGCACUAUCGGAUGAACCCAUAUGGGAUUAGCUAGUAGGUGGGGUAAAGGCUCACCUAGGCGACGAUCUCUAGCUGGUCUGAGAGGAUGAUCAGCUACACUGGGACUGAGACACGGCCCAG